rnacentral:misc_RNA from 1 species
GAUGAAGAACGUAGCGAAAUGCGAUAAUUAAUGUGAAUUGCAGAAUUCCGUGAAUCAUCGAGUCUUUGAACGCACAUUGCGCCUCAUGGCAUUCCGUGAGGCAUGCCCAUCUCAGCGUUAGAAAAUAUUCUCAAAUUUUAGUUUUGUGCUAAAAUUUUGAUCAUGUCAAGGAAGCUAUUACUAUUAUUGUGAUCGCUCUUUGGAAAUUGAUAGGUCUUUGAGUUGCUACUCAUAGAACGUGAUGAAUCUUUCUUCGUUCUAUUGUAAUUCACUCUGGUAGUCCUAAAACUUGUAUGCCUGUGGCAUAUCUUGUAAUUUGACCUGAGAUUGGGUAGGGAUACCCGCUGAACUUAAGCAUAUCAAUAAGCGGAGGA